rnacentral:lncRNA from 1 species
UGAAAAUGUUCUUUCUCCUUCACUAUUCAUGAAGAAUCUUCACCAGCCUGCUCUUAGAAACAUUGAAAGAGGAACGUGAAAAAUACUCUCAUCCCUUCUCCACCAGUCUUAGACCCACUAACACUAGGAAUUUACUCAUAUUUGAGACAGUCUUAUUACUCAGUGCCAUUAUACACACAUGAGCACGCUUCCUUUAACUCAAUUCUGGUAGCUGAAGAUAUUGCAGGGAACAAUUCACAGAACUGCUGUAUAUCAGAGAACUGCACCAUCACAGAGCAUGUCCAGCAUCUGACUGUUGUCAUUUUGUACUCUAGAGCUGCUGGAGGUUUAUGCCCAGUUUGUUUUUGAUGGCCUUUGUCUAACCUCCACCAUGAUCUUCAGUCCAUACUCUAUUUAACCCUUCUGUAAGCUAUGUGGUCCAUGCAUUCCAAACCCAUACCUGAUGCAGAAUUACAGCCAAUACAG